rnacentral:snoRNA from 1 species
CCUGCCCCUAGAAGCAUUGUAGGUGUUGCUGCUGUGUUACAUAUGCCUCAGUAGGUGGGAGAGAGGAGAGAGGCUAUAUCUAGCAUAACAUUCCCUGAAAAAAGCCAGCUAGUCUGGCACU